GGGGCCUACGCUGGCGGCGUGCCUAAUACAUGCAAGUCGAGCGAAUGGAUUAAGAGCUUGCUCUUAUGAAGUUAGCGGCGGACGGGUGAGUAACACGUGGGUAACCUGCCCAUAAGACUGGGAUAACUCCGGGAAACCGGGGCUAAUACCGGAUAACAUUUUGAACUGCAUGGUUCGAAAUUGAAAGGCGGCUUCGGCUGUCACUUAUGGAUGGACCCGCGUCGCAUUAGCUAGUUGGUGAGGUAACGGCUCACCAAGGCAACGAUGCGUAGCCGACCUGAGAGGGUGAUCGGCCACACUGGGACUGAGACACGGCCCAGACUCCUACGGGAGGCAGCAGUAGGGAAUCUUCCGCAAUGGACGAAAGUCUGACGGAGCAACGCCGCGUGAGUGAUGAAGGCUUUCGGGUCGUAAAACUCUGUUGUUAGGGAAGAA
rnacentral:rRNA from 1 species